AUGUAUAGCAAUAGCUUAUUGCACCAACAAAUAGUUGAUGUAAUAUUGACUCUGUCAAAUAAAAUUCUAGGUAGAAUUAUGAUAAUGACAUUGUCUGCCUAUAUGUCUUGACCAAAUUACGUGCCAGCAGUCGCGGUAAUACGUAGAAGACUAGUGUUAUUCAUCUUUAAUAGGUUUAAAGGGUACCUAGACGGUAGAUCAAGCCUUCGCAGGGACUAAUUUACUAGAGUUACUUACGAGGGGGUAUUAAAGUACUGCAGGUGUAGGGAUGAAAUUCUGUCAUACCUCUUUUCGAAAGAAAAAUUAUGGCACAGGUAUAGGUGAAAGCAUCCCCUUAUGUGAUAACUGACGUUGAAGGACGAAGGCUUUGUGUCGCGAACAGGAUUAGAUACCCCAGUAGUCAAAGCAGAAAAUGAUGAAUGUCAUAGAUUAGAUAAAUAGUUUAUUCUAUAAAUGAAAAUGUAAGCAUUCCACCUCAAGAGUAAUUUGGCAACAUUGGAACUGAAAUCAUUAGACCGUUUCUGAAACCAGUAGUGAAGUAUGUUGUUUAAUUUGAUGAUCCGCAAAAAACCUUACCACAAUUUGAAUAUUUAUAUCUAUCUUCUUUUUUCGUAAAAAAAUAAAAAGGUAAUAUAUUUACAAGCGUUGCACGGCUGUCUUCAGUUAAUGUCGCGAGACUUUGGUUAGUUCCAUUAAAUUAACGUAAACCCUUACUUUAUUUUUAUAUAAAGUAGUUCCCCGCUAUAUUGGAUAUGAUAACAGGGACUAAGACAAGUCAUCAUGGCCUGAAUAUUGUGGGCUAUAGACGUGCCACAUAAACCUUACAAAAGGGUGUGAAAUUGUGAAAU
rnacentral:rRNA from 1 species